AUAGUACAUUACUACAGAGGCCGGGACAAAAGGGGUUGCCGGCCGAAGACAUAUAGAGCGGGCAACCCCAUAUUUCCCGCCGAGGUAUGUAUAGUGCUCUUCUCAAACAUGCAAUGAAAUAAAUAAAAUAAAAAAUCCACGAAACCCAAGUUUUAUUUAUAGAAAAACUAAAAGUAAACUACACCCAAAAUAUAACUAACACGUACUUAUAUCUUUAUCACGCGUAUGUUUUACACGAGUCGUGUAUUUUUACUACCCGUAUAUUUUCAUGUAUCUUUGAUUUUUUUCGCCUUGUAUCCGUCUGACUGUCGUUUUCGUCACAUAAGUUUAUAUAGUCUUUCAUGUUGAUAUCAUGUUUCACAUACAUCGUUGCUUUAUGCAUGGAGUAAAUAAGUAUAAUUUCCACAGUAUUGACGAUUUUGUAGUUACUUUCAUUUCUUUAAAAUAUGCCACAAAUAUUUCUUAGUUUCUCAAAUAAUAAAAUUGCCAUAAGCAACCAUAUACAUACUUCGUCUUUGACUUGGCGGCAGAGGCAGCAAGUUAUUUAAAAUCAAUUCUGCUUACGCUGCCAAUUCCAACUUCUACGAUUACAUAUUAAUUUCAUUAUUUUGUCGGAAUUCAUAUUAAAGUAAAAAAGUCAAGACCGCACCAUAAAUCCAAUAAAACAGAAAUACAGAAUGAAAAUUUUCCAACUUUGCCUCCAUAACAAUUAAAAAAAAUAACUACGCGUGUUUGAGUAGACCUUUUUACCGCUAACGUUUAGAUGAAAUAUUUUAAAUGUUUUUAUUUGUGUAGUUAAAUUUGUAAUUUAAAAUUAUAGAAUUUGGUUUAUUUAUUAUGUUCAUGUUGAUUUUAUACAAAUAAAACUGCAAAUUAUAGCAAA